rnacentral:sRNA from 1 species
AAGUGGACUGUUUAGGGACUGUGGUGAU